rnacentral:rRNA from 1 species
GCCAGGUUACAAAGCUGGCUGUCCAGAUGCCUAAAAAGCAUUUCAUAACAAGGGCCGGGCAAGACCGGUGCCAGCCGCCGCGGUAACACCGGCGGCUCGAGUGGUAACCGUUAUUAUUGGGUCUAAAGGGUCUGUAGCCGGCCGGAUAAGUCUCUUGAGAAAUCUGGCAGCUCAACUGUCAGGCUUUCAGGAGAUACUGUCUGGCUCGAGGCCGGGAGAGGUGAGAGGUACUUCGGGGGUAGGGGUGAAAUCCUGUAAUCCAA